rnacentral:misc_RNA from 1 species
GAUGAAGAACGUAGCGAAAUGCGAUAAGUAAUGUGAAUUGCAGAAUUCAGUGAAUCAUCGAAUCUUUGAACGCACCUUGCGCCCUUUGGCCAUUCCGAAGGGCAUGCCUGUUUGAGUAUCAUGAACACCUCAACUCUUCAUGGUUUUCCAUGAUGAGCUUGGACUUUGGGGGUCUUGCUGGCCUGUGGGUCGGCUCCUCUCAAAUGAAUCAGCUUGCCGGUUUUUGGUGGGCAUCACAGGUGUGAUAACUAUCUACGCUUGUGGUUUUCCACCAGGGUAACCUUCAGCAGUGGAGGUUCACUGGAGCUUACAAAUGUCUCUCCUCUGUGAGGACAGCCCUUUGAAUGUUUGAUCUCAAAUCAGGUAGGACUACCCGCUGAACUUAAGCAUAUCAAUAAGCGGAGGA